CAACUGGCGGGCAAACGACACAGGCAGUCAUGCACUUAGGUGGGGCGAGCUGCACGCGGACUACUAUGAAAGC
rnacentral:rRNA from 1 species